GUUCCCCUCUGAGGAGCACGUGGGCAUUUGCUCGGGAACUGGCGUCACCUGUGCUGUUGUCCAUGUCUUAACCCAUUGACCCUGGGCUGCAAGCUUCUCUACUGAGAGGCAUGGAUGGAAGUACUCCAGGAUUUGAACAUAUUCUUGAAUCUGUCAUUUUGAGGGAGCAUCCCACUGUCAUCCUCCAGUUAUUUUGACCAUUUUUGGAAGACAGUCAUGGAGUUGAGUCACAAUAAAUUCUGUGGAUGCUGGAAUCUGGAGCAAUACACCAAAAGUGCUGGAGGAACUCAGCAGGUCAGAGACUGACAACAUUACAAUAAUGACAAGAAUAUGCAAGGGCCAGUUUCUCUUGGCUGGGACAAUAUCAGAAGAGAUGAAUAAAGAAAUGAUGAAAAUUGGAAGCCUUAGAAGGAGGUGAACCAAAGAUUGUAUCUGUCCUAUGGCUCUGAAUGUAACCACCAGCAUUUAGCUAUUAAAUAGUCAUAUGCUUUUGAAUUCAGCUUUUUAAAAUUAUGAACCCCUACUUCCAGUCUGGAUCAAGAUCAAAUUAACUAUUUUUGCUGGGAUUUUGCUCUCCAUUCUUGGUGGAGUCAUUUUUGAUGCAAUGGAAAGUUCCAUUCAAUUGAAGAAAGCCAACAGCCAUUAAAGAUAACUGUUAACAUAUUUUAAAUGUUCUUCCCUGAUGAAAAAUAACAGUGCAGCAACUUUAGGAAUUUAAAUAAAAACUAUAGUUGUGAAAUUGACACUUUUUCACUUACUGAUGCUUCUUGCAGCUAGCUCUGUUGUCUGGGAGAUGCUUCUCUCAGAACCUUCCCUUGAGGAAUGAUGUGAAAUGUUGCUUAUAAAUUGCCCUCUGGAUAAAGGUGUCCACCAGUGUCCUUGUUGAUUGU